rnacentral:rRNA from 1 species
CAGUAGCCGCGGGAAUACGAAGGGUGCAAGCGUUAAUCGGAAUUACUGGGCGUAAAGCGUGCGUAGGCGGUUUGUUAAGUCUGUUGUGAAAUCCCCGGGCUCAACCUGGGAACGGCAAUGGAUACUGGCAAGCUAGAGUGUGUCAGAGGAUGGUGGAAUUCCCGGUGUAGCGAUGAAAUGCGUAGAGAUCGGAAGGAACAUCAGUGGCGAAGGCGGCCAUCUGGGACAACACUGACGCUGAGGCACGAAAGCGUGGGGAGCAAACAGGAUUAGAUACCCGCGUAGUCCCUGUCUCUUAUAC